rnacentral:lncRNA from 1 species
CAAUAUUCUAGAUCUUUCUAUAGAGACAAAUGAUUAUUAUACACAGCAGGCAGAGAUUAUACUCACCAGACUUUUGCCUCUUUGGGAGUGUGGGUAAGAGCUAUGCAUGUGUUUUCAGGGGUAGCAGUAUUAGGGACUCUUUCUGGAGUGCGUUUUAAACAUAAAGUGCAAGUUAACACAUUUGAAAUCUCUUAGCAAGGCCUUCACACUGGUUGAUAUCCAAGCACAGGGUGUUACCCAGGUCUGCUGAGUCCUUGUGUUCAUCUCCACGACUCUCCCUCUGCUGCCUAGGAAAACAAGCACCUGGCAGGCCUCCUCUCUGCUUCCUGCAUUUGAUGCUUCCUCCUUGACCUUCCUUCUCCAUUGAAGAACCAAGCUAAGAGAGCAAAGCUAUCAAUCACAGCCAGCUCCUCUGUGUUCAUCCCCAGGCAGUUUCCUUUGGCUAAAUACGUUCAUUCCCGUGGCUGGGUGAGCUAGUGAAUGGCAGUCCCUAGGGUUCAAAGGACUAAGGAGGUGACUGGAGAUUUAUUUAUUUUCUCAUUGUCCAGCCCAGACGUCUCCUUGAUCUGCCAGUUUCUCUGAAACUGGCAUUUGAUCUCAUCUCUUACUUGUCAUAAAAGCUAUUGUGUCCUUGGGCUUAUAUGAAAUAUAAUCUCACCUGUGACCUUCUUUUCAUACUGCACACUCUCCAGAGGCUUUAUGGAACUUGCACAGUUUAAUUUGGGAUUUGCUAUGCCUUUGCUGGGCUGCAGCCAACCUGUGGAGCCCUUUGAAUAGCUCAUUGUGCAAUAUCCACCAAAUGGACUGCAGCUCUGAAUCCACUUAGCUUCUUUUUUUUUUUUAUUCUGGUUGAAUUACUUUUUUCUUGACAUUUUUUUUUUUUUUUUUGGCUUCUGUCAACUGUUUGGAAAUACAGAAGCACAAAGUAUGGAGCUAGACCGGAACGAACGUUGAGCUAUAUGGCAGACAGAAUAAUAAACUCCCCAAAGCUAAAUCCUAAUCCCAGAAAUCUAAAACAUCUGACUUGUAACUCUGAUUCACCUCUGUUUGACUGGACAGCAUGCUCUUGUGUCUUAGUGGCGUUCAAAAGGGAGUGGACACCAUAG